rnacentral:rRNA from 1 species
AACGAACGCUGGCGGCAGGCCUAACACAUGCAAGUCGAGCGAGAUCUUCGGGUCUAGCGGCGGACGGGUGAGUAACGCGUGGGAAUAUGCCUCUUGGUACGGAAUAGCCUCGGGAAACUGGGAGUAAUACCGUAUGUGCCCUUUGGGGGAAAGAUUUAUCGCCAAGAGAUUAGCCCGCGUUGGAUUAGGUAGUUGGUGGGGUAAUGGCCUACCAAGCCGACGAUCCAUAGCUGGUUUGAGAGGAUGAUCAGCCACACUGGGACUGAGACACGGCCCAGACUCUUACGCGAGGCAGCAGUGGGGAAUCUUAGACAAUGGGUGCAAGCCUGAUCGAGCCAUACCCCGGGAGUGAUGAAGUCCUUAGGGUUGUAAAGCUCUUUCAGCUGGGAAGAUCAUGACGGUACCAGAAGAAGAAGACCCGGCUAACUGCGUG